GUCCACGCCGUAAACGAUGGAUACUAAGUGUUGGUGAAAAUCAGUGCUGUAGUUAACGCAAUAAGUAUCCCGCCUGGGGAGUAUGCGCGCAAAGCGUCAAAACUCAAAGGAAUUGACGGGGGCCCGCACAAGCGGUGGAGUAUGUGGUUUAAUUCGAAGCAACGCGAAGAACCUUACCAGGUCUUGACAUAUAGUUAAAAAAGCACAGAGAUGUGUAAUAGUUAUAGCUAUACAGGUGGUGCAUGGUUGUCGU
rnacentral:rRNA from 1 species